rnacentral:sRNA from 1 species
GCUUUGAAAAACUAUUUAAAAGAGCAUUUUGAUGGCCUUUCAGAAG